rnacentral:rRNA from 1 species
CCUACGGGGGGCAGCAGUGGGGGAUAUUGCACAAUGGGGGAAACCCUGAUGCAGCGAUGCCGCGUGAAUGAUGACGGCCUUCGGGUUGUAAACUUCUGUCGCAGGGGACGAUAAUGACGGUACCUUGCAAGAAAGCUCCGGCUAACUCCGUGCCAGCAGCCGCGGUAAUACGGAGGGUGCAAGCGUUAGUCGGAAUUACUGGGGGUAAAGGGCGCGUAGGCGGGAUGGCAAGUCUGAUGUGAAAUCCUAUGGGUUAACCACAGAGCUGCGUUCAAAACUGUUAUUCUUGAGUAAAGGAGAGGCAGGUGGAAUUCCUGGUGUAGCGGUGAAAUGCGUAGAUAUUAGGAGGAACCCCAGUGGCGAAGGCGGCCUGCUGAGCUGUUACUGACACUGAUGCUCGAAAGUGUGGGUAGCAAACAGGAUUAGAUACCCGUGUAGUC